GCCUCCACCGCCUUCUUCCAGGAGGAGGGGCCGUGCGGCGCCUGCCCGGGGGCCCUCAGGCCGCAGGCGGGCGCGAGCUUCAGGGAACUUAGGGGGCUCCCGCCUCCCCGGCCACGCGAGCGGGAACAGUCUCCUCCACUCGGAGCGGCGCCAUCUUCAGCUCUGAGUCACCAGGGCUGGAAAAAUACUAGAUGCGCUACUCGUGGACUCGUGAAUACACUCGUGAAUACAGGCCAUUUCCUGUACCUACAGCCACCCGCUUUUCUUCUCCCAGUGACCUCUAUUAACAGAGCCUACAUGGAACCAGCCGGCAAAGACAAGUUCCACUGUCACAACUAGAGAAAAGAGGAUGGGUUUGGAAUUGAAAGGCUUGGCUGUUGUUGAUAUAAAGGAAUGCAGCUAACCAGGGAGAUGGAAAAUCUCUACAGUGAGAGCCACAAAACACUUCUCAAAGAAAUCAGAGAUGACACAGACAAAUGGAAAAACAUUACAUGCUUAUGGAUAGGAAGAAUCAAUAUCAUUAAAAUGGCCAUACUGCCCAAAGCAA
rnacentral:lncRNA from 10 species